ensembl:lncRNA
AUAAGACCAUGUGAACCUCCCAGUCUGCAGCUUUCAGCUGUAUCCACACUAGGUGCACCAGUCGACAGAAAAGUCAGGUUUUGGGGAUUCAACUCGAUCCGGAGUCAGGUGGAUAGAAGAUCCUGCAACCACUUUGUCAAUUUAAAUGCAAAACAGAGAUCUGGGGAAGAGAGAUACGAUGACCCGUUCCCCUGACUUAUCUGGUCUGGGGAUCAUUCAGCUGGGAAAGACUGGAGCAGGGAUGAGUGCAACCGGAAACACCAAACAGGUGUUUAUAGAAGAGUUCUCUUCUGAGUCUGUGACGACACAAUGUGAAGAUAUCCAGAGGAUGAAGAGGACAGCUUCAGACACUACUGAAACAGGAGGAGGAGGAGGAGCAGCAGCAGGAGUAGGAGUAACAGAAGGUGUACUAGCAGCAGUACUAGGAGGAGUAGCAAGAGGAGAAGGAGUAGCAGCAACAGGAGCAGGAGUAACAGAAGGUGAACUAGCAGCAGUACUAGGAGGAGUAGCAGGAGGAGGAUCAGCAGGAGGAGGAGCAGCAGGAGGAGGAGCAGAAGGAGCAACAGAAGGUGUACUAGCAGCAGUACUAGGAGUAGCAGGAGAAGGAGCAGCAGGAGAAGGAGUAGCAGCAACAGGAGCAGGAGUAACAGAAGGUGAACUAGCAGCAGUACUAGGAGGAGUAGCAGGAGAAGGAGGAGCAGAAAUAGGAGCAGGAGUAACAGACGGUGUACUAGCAGCAGUACUAGGAGGAGUAGCAGGAGGAGCAGCAACAGGAGUAUUGGUACUGGCUUUGGGAAUACCAGCAGGAAGAGCAGGAGCAGGUGUAGCAGCAGUUGCAGGAGUAGCAUUUGCAGAGAUUUUUCAAAAACUUACGCCGAAAUCUACAAAAGGCAGGUGGAAAAGAGAAAGCCUCGAAAAAUGUAGUACAGAUCUGGUUAAGAACAAUUAAACUACCUGAGAGUAUAUCGUAUGUUUGUUUCUCUAGUUAAGACUCAUGUAAAAUGUACAUGUUCAAAUUAUAAAACAAACGUAUAUCAAGAUCCCUUUAUGGAAGGAACUUGUGUACUUUUUAAAAUCAGUCUCCCCUUUUAUUUAUAGUCAUAUUUUCAAUGGACCGUUCAGGGACCCUCCCCAAAAAAACAUUAUUUGUUGCAAUGUGAAUAAAUGUUACUAUCAUGUUUGUGUAGUGAAACAUGGGUAAUUUCAUGGUGUUUUUAAAGUAACCAAUGAAGAAUAUAUCACUGAUUAAAUUGAAUUUGUCUAUGGUGCCUUCGAUGCAAUAUAAGUAUAAAAAAUAUAUUUUAUUGACAUGUUGUGUACCAUUAGUCAAUGGGUGUGGCGUUAGAUGCACCAAUAGCAAACUGGUAUGAGAUUCCAUUAUGGGUUAUAGAGGAAACUAAUGUGAACCUCCCAUGUCCCCUGUAAAUCAGACUCAACACAUAGAUUGACGUUGUGGGGAUCCAUUUCUCUCCGGAGUCGGUUGGAUAGAAGAUCCUACAGCCACUGUCAAUUUGAAGGCAAACUGACAUAAUGCUUAGAUUUGUCCCCUGCAGUAAUCCUUGGCUAUUGCAGUGUUCCAUUAAAAAAAAGAGCAUCUGUGCCAUUAUUUCAACUUCUAACAACAAUAAUAUUUUGUCAUUUUGGAUUAUAUUGAUUGAGACAGUUUUAUAUCUUGUGUCAUUGCUGUUCUGCAAAAUAAAAA